GACGAACGCUGGCGGCGUGCUUAACACAUGCAAGUCGAACGCUGAACCCGCUUCGGUGGGGGAUGAGUGGCGAACGGGUGAGUAACACGUGGGCAACCUGCCCCCGGCUCUGGGAUAACUCCAAGAAAUUGGGGCUAAUACCGGAUGUGACCGCUGGCCGCAUGGUCUGGUGGUGGAAAGGGUUUCCGGCUGGGGAUGGGCCCGCGGCCUAUCAGCUUGUUGGUGGGGUAGUGGCCUACCAAGGCGACGACGGGUAGCCGGCCUGAGAGGGUGACCGGCCACACUGGGACUGAGACACGGCCCAGACUCCUACGGGAGGCAGCAGUGGGGAAUAUUGCGCAAUGGGCGGAAGCCUGACGCAGCGACGCCGCGUGGGGGAUGACGGCCUUCGGGUUGUAAACCUCUUUCAGCAGGGACGAAGCGCAAGUGACGGUACCUGCAGAAGAAGCACCGGCCAACUACGUG
rnacentral:rRNA from 1 species